AGUCGAGCGAUCUCUUCGGAGAGAGCGGCGGACGGGUGAGUAACGCGUGGGUAACCUGCCCUGUACACACGGAUAACAUACCGAAAGGUAUACUAAUACGGGAUAACAUACGAAAGUCGCAUGGCUUUUGUAUCAAAGCUCCGGCGGUACAGGAUGGACCCGCGUCUGAUUAGCUAGUUGGUAAGGUAAUGGCUUACCAAGGCAACGAUCAGUAGCCGACCUGAGAGGGUGAUCGGCCACACUGGAACUGAGACACGGUCCAGACUCCUACGGGAGGCAGCAGUGGGGAAUAUUGCACAAUGGGCGAAAGCCUGAUGCAGCAACGCCGCGUGAGCGAUGAAGGCCUUCGGGUCGUAAAGCUCUGUCCUCAAGGAAGAUAAUGACGGUACUUGAGGAGGAAGCCCCGGCUAACUACGUGCCAGCAGCCGCGGUAAUACGUAGGGGGCUAGCGUUAUCCGGAAUUACUGGGCGUAAAGGGUGCGUAGGUGGUUUUUUAAGUCAGAAGUGAAAGGCUACGGCUCAACCGUAGUAAGCUUUUGAAACUAGAGAACUUGAGUGCAGGAGAGGAGAGUAGAAUUCCUAGUGUUAGCGGUGAAAUGCGUAGAUAUUUGGAGGAAUACCAGUAGCGAAGGCGGCUCUCUGGACUGUAACUGACACUGAGGCACGAAAGCGUGGGGAGCAAACAGGAUUAGAUACCCUGGUAGUCCACGCCGUAAACGAUGAGUACUAGGUGUCGGGGGUUACCCCCCUCGGUGCCGCAGCUAACGCAUUAAGUACUCCGCCUGGGAAGUACGCUCGCAAGAGUGAAACUCAAAGGAAUUGACGGGGACCCGCACAAGUAGCGGAGCAUGUGGUUUAAUUCGAAGCAACGCGAAGAACCUUACCUAAGCUUGACAUCCCACUGACCUCUCCCUAAUCGGAGAUUUCCCUUCGGGGACAGUGGUGACAGGUGGUGCAUGGUUGUCGUCAGCUCGUGUCGUGAGAUGUUGGGUUAAGUCCCGCAACGAGCGCAACCCUUGCCUUUAGUUGCCAGCAUUAAGUUGGGCACUCUAGAGGGACUGCCGAGGAUAACUCGGAGGAAGGUGGGGAUGACGUCAAAUCAUCAUGCCCCUUAUGCUUAGGGCUACACACGUGCUACAAUGGGUGGUACAGAGGGUUGCCAAGCCGCGAGGUGGAGCUAAUCCCUUAAAGCCAUUCUCAGUUCGGAUUGUAGGCUGAAACUCGCCUACAUGAAGCUGGAGUUACUAGUAAUCGCAGAUCAGAAUGCUGCGGUGAAUGCGUUCCCGGGUCUUGUACACACCGCCCGUCACACCAUGGAAGUUGGGGGCGCCCGAAGCCGGUUAGCUAACCUUUAGGAAGCGGCCGUCGA
rnacentral:rRNA from 1 species